rnacentral:tRNA from 2 species
GCGGGAGUGGUGGAAUUGGUAGACACACUGGAUUUAGGUUCCAGCGCCGCAAGGCGUGAGAGUUCGAGUCUCUCCUCCCGCACCA